UACGGAGGGUGCAAGCGUUGUUCGGAAUUACUGGGCGUAAAGGGCGCGUAGGCGGCCUUCUAAGUCGAACGUGAAAUCCCUGGGCUCAACCCAGGAACUGCGUCCGAUACUGGAAGGCUUGAAUCCGGGAGAGGGAUGCGGAAUUCCAGGUGUAGCGGUGAAAUCCGUAGAUAUCAGGAGGAACAUCGGUGGCGAAGGCGAAUGUCUGGCUCGUUUCUGACGCUGAGACGCGAAAGCGUGGGGAGCAAACAGG
rnacentral:rRNA from 1 species